AUUGAACGCUGGCGGCAGGCUUAACACAUGCAAGUCGAGCGGAGACUUCGGUCUUAGCGGCGAACGGGUGAGUAAUACCUAGGAAUCUGCCCAUUAGCGGGGGACAACGUUUCGAAAGGAACGCUAAUACCGCAUACGCCCUACCGGGGGAAAGGACAGGGGAGUCUUUUGUACCUUGCACUAAUGGAUGAGCCUAGGCCGGAUUAGCUAGUUGGUAGGGUAAAGGCCUACCAAGGCGACGAUCUGUAGCUGGUCUGAGAGGAUGACCAGCCACACUGGAACUGAGACACGGUCCAGACUCCUACGGGAGGCAGCAGUGGGGAAUAUUGGACAAUGGCGCAAGCCUGAUCCAGCCAUGCCGCGUGUGUGAAGAAGGCCUCGGUU
rnacentral:rRNA from 1 species